rnacentral:lncRNA from 1 species
UGGUCUUUCUUCCAGUAAAAAACUGCUUGCAGUAAUUGGCGUUUAUUACCGGAUUCGGUAGUCGAUUAAAUAGAAAUGUUUUCCAGGGGAUCUUGGAUGCCAAAAGGUGAUUCUUUGAAAAAGCUUGAAGAAAGGGGAAUUGUCAUACGUUUUGUAAUUGGACGGAGGUUGUCUACUUGAUUUAUUUAUUAAUUUUUAUUUUAUUUUCUUAGUUUACAUUAUAUACAUAUUUUUUUUUUUUUUUUGUGGAUGAAAACUUUUAUAUUCACCAACUUGACAGUCAAGAUAACCUUUAAUCAAUCUGACAAAUAUAUUUAUAAAAUAUUUGCAAUGGGAGAAAAAAAAUAACGAUUUCCACAAUUUGGCUAAAGUUAUAAACUAGUAAUACGGUACUAAAUUUUGCUAACGGUCCUUUAGUAUAUUAUACUUCAUUUUGGCAACUAAUCAAAUCUAAUUAAACUUCGAAUUUUCAGUCCUAAUCGUGGUGAUAGCUUGGAC